rnacentral:rRNA from 1 species
UACGGAGGGGGCUAGCGUUGUUCGGAAUUACUGGGCGUAAAGCGCACGUAGGCGGCUUUGUAAGUUAGAGGUGAAAGCCCGGGGCUCAACCCCGGAAUUGCCUUUAAGACUGCAUCGCUUGAACGUCGGAGAGGUGAGUGGAAUUCCGAGUGUAGAGGUGAAAUUCGUAGAUAUUCGGAAGAACACCAGUGGCGAAGGCGGCUCACUGGACGACUGUUGACGCUGAGGUGCGAAAGCCAGGGGAGCAAACGGG